rnacentral:rRNA from 1 species
AUUGAACGCUGGCGGCAGGCCUAACACAUGCAAGUCGAGCGGAGCGGCAGACGGGUGAGUAAUGCCUAGGAAUCUGCCUGGGAGUGGGGGAUGAGGUACGGACACGGGCGCUAGUACCGAAUACUAUCGGAUGCGCCUAGAUCGGAUUAGCUAGUUGGUGGGGUAAAGGCCUACCAAGACGACGAGCCGUAACUGGUCUGAGAGGAUGAUCAGUCACACUGGAACUGAGACACGGUCCAGACUCCUACGGGAGGCAGCAGUGGGGAAUAUUGGACAAUGGGCGAAAGCCUGAUCCAGCCAUGCCGCGUGUGUGAAGAAGGUCUUCGGAUUGUAAAGCACUUUAAGUUGGGAGGCGUUACCAACAGAAUAAGCACCGGCUAACUUCGUGCCAGCAGCCGCGGUAAUUC